UAACCAUGACCACUAGUCUGGAGAAGCACUGGCUUCAGCAGCAGAAGGCAGAAUCAUUGAUAGCAAGAAUCUUUUGAGCUCCUCAGAGCCAUGCAGCUCCUCACCCUUACCCUCUGCCACUGCCAUCAGCAAUGGGGAUUUCUCAGUCAUCUAUGAGAGAUUAUAGCUGUUUGGAUCAACACAGCCCCCUCCUCUUCAUCAUGAAAACUACCACUGCAUUAGUCUCAGCUCAAAUACAGUAUCUUUAAGGAUGCCGGAGAUACAGGAGUGCUGGGAAGGCAAGACCAUGGUCCCUUUAAAUGAUACGGGAGUGCUGGGUAGAGGAAGGGUGUGGUCCCUGGCUAGGGCUCCACCCCCACCGACCUAGAUGAGGACCUGGCACUCCUGCCUGCACGCCCAAAUGUUGUAUUUCCCAAGACCAUCCUGGCCCACCACGGCCCCAUCCUGUGACUAUAAAAACCUGAGACUCUAGCAAGGCAAAGACCGAAACGACUGGACGUGUAGAGGAGCGGAUCAGCAGAAGAAGAUAGAGGCAGGGGGAUGUCAAAUGCAGCAUAUCAGCGUAGGAACACACAGGCCGUUGAAGCGAGAGAGGAGCACAUCAAUGAAAGAAGGCACAAGCAUCUGGAUGGCGAGAGGAUGUUGAGGGGAGCAUGGCAGCUGAAGAGCACACCGACAGGACACACGCCGGCACUGUCCCGGUGGGAGUGGGAUGAGGCGGAGUUUGGUGGGGGCAGUGGGAGGAGAGCCCUGGCCGUGGAGUGCCCCAACUCCAGGGGAAAACCAUCUCCCUUCUGGCUCCCCCAUCUGCUGAGAGCUACUUCCACUCAAUAAAAGCUUGCACUCAUUCUCCAAGCCCACAUGUGAUCCUAUUCUUUCGGUACACAAAGGCGAGAAACCCCGGGAUACAGAAAGCCCUCUGUCCUUGAGAUGAGGUAGAGGGUCUAAUUGAGCUGGUUAACACAAGCCUAUAGAUGGCACACUAAGAGAGCAUCCUGUAACACACGCCCACUGGGGCUUCAGCUGUAAACAUUCACCCCUAGACACUGUUGUAGGGUGGGAGCCCCACAGCCUGCCGUCUGUAUGCUCCUCUAGAGGUCUGAGCAGUGGGGCACUGGAGAGCCACACCCACAUCGCAUGCCCUGCCGGGGGACUACUGAACCUUUCCCGUUUCACUAGCAUAUACAAUAUAACCCUCUGGCCUAUCGCUUUAACACAUUUCCUCAGAGCGUUCAACAUCAUCUGUUAAAUACUUGUAUUAUAAUAUUUUAUCUCUUUAUUUCUUUUGCUUUAUAAAAUAAAUUGCUUAUCUUUUCGGUAAUCCCCUGUAUCCCUGAUGCUUCGAUCAAUGCCUAACAUAUAUUGAAUUAAUAUUAAUUGAUGAAAUAAAUGGAUAAACACACUCCUUCCUGAGUAUGAAUAUAUCUUAACUGUAUCACAUAACUUUUUUCACAUUCUUCCUUGCCUCAACGGUUUGCAUAUAUUUCACGUAGGUCACUUAUCACUAUCGGGAUUUAUGUAAUUUAAAAAUCUCCUCCAUUAAAUUGCAAAUUUCUUGGCAACUGGAUUUUCUUAUAUUCAUUUGUUAAAAUUUGCAUGCCUUUAAGACAUACAUAUACUAACUGCUCAAAUAAUAUUAUUUAAAUGAAUGGAUGUAAAUUAUACUAAGGGCAAGUUUAAGAAUUAUUAUUUCCUUUUUACCCAGAAGCUUAAAAACAUUUCAUUUUCUAAAAUUCUAUGAGAAGGCAUAUAUAUGAUUAUAGCACUGGCC
rnacentral:lncRNA from 10 species